GAUGAACGCUGGCGGCGUGCCUAAUACAUGCAAGUCGAGCGAACGGACGAGAAGCCUGCUUCUCUGAUGUUAGCGGCGGACGGGUGAGUAACACGUGGAUAACCUACCUAUAAGACUGGGAUAACUUCGGGAAACCGGAGCUAAUACCGGAUAAUAUUUUGAACCGCAUGGUUCAAAAGUAAAAGACGGUCUUGCUGUCACUUAUAGAUGGAUCCGCGCUGCAUUAGCUAGUUGGUAAGGUAACGGCUUACCAAGGCAACGAUGCAUAGCCGACCUGAGAGGGUGAUCGGCCACACUGGAACUGAGACACGGUCCAGACUCCUACGGGAGGCAGCAGUAGGGAAUCUUCCGCAAUGGGCGAAAGCCUGACGGAGCAACGCCGCGUGAGUGAUGAAGGUCUUCGGAUCGUAAAACUCUGUUAUUAGGGAAGAACAUAUGUGUAAGUAACUGUGCACAUCUUGACGGUACCUAAUCAGAAAGCCACGGCUAACUACGU
rnacentral:rRNA from 1 species